CAGAAGAAGAAGGAGGCGGAAGAUGAAAGCCAAAGCCAGAAAAAGCAAGAUCAAGAGGAAGAUGAAACGAGGGAGGCGAAGUAGAAAAAAGAAGGAAGAGGGAGGAAGUAAGGAUGAGGGGGGAAAACGACAAAAAGGGGAAUGAAAAGGAGGAGAGAGAGAGGCAUUAAAGAUUUGAGAGAAUGGUGGAGGGAAAGAAAGGGUGAGGUUGAAGGGAGGAGGAGAGGAACAGAGGAGAAAUAAAAAGAAGACACAGGGGAGAUUAUACUCUCUUGGCAUGCAUACUAUUGAUUAUUCAGAUCUUCACAUCCCUUUUGGAUAAACCCUGAUCCAAGUUUUGUUUGUGCGUGCAUCAAAAGAUUCUGUGUGUGAGAGAAAGAUGGAGUAUCUCUCCAGAGAGGGGGAGGAGUUAGGCCCAAUUCUGGGAACUCUCCUUUUCAAAAUCACAGUAGGUGUAGGGUCUUCUGUGCACCACCUCCUGUGACCAGAUGUUGAGUCAAACCAAGAGGUAGACAAAACAAUGAAUAGAAUGAUGGAGAGGAAACAGAGCUAACAUAUUUCAGCCCUCUUAAGCUGAGAAAGUUUAAGAAACUCUGCCAUCAAAGGUCACUUCUGUGUAUGUCUCUGAACUUUCCCAUAUGUGUAAAGCUACAAUUAGAAAUCGCUCAUAUCAAAGCUCAUGUCUGCUUAUGUGUUUUUCUUUGUGCGUGUCACUCCAUCUGUCUCUGAGCCUGCCUGCCUGUCUGAUGGCUGCUCUGCUCACUGUCAUCAAGUUCACCCAGUCCCUCUGUCUCUCUGCAGGCCUCUGGGUUCAGAGGAAGGUUGAUCUCUUGCAUGCUGGCUGUGGGAACCGCGACACGCAUGCAAAAACAUGCACACGCAGCUGAGACCGCGGCUGAAUGUUUAGGACGCCCCGUGUCCAUAAAAGAGCUCCCAGGGCAAACACUUAUGUACGUCUCCAAGGACCAAGUCUUCAAGGACCUACCACGCCGAACUAGUGCCUAAAGCACAGCACACAGAAGCAGCUCUCCCAGUAUUGUCUACUAGUUCAGGUGUUGCGGUUGAACUUCUUGCCCUGCCGCAGACACGACUGCGGACUCUCCCUGCACUGACACAAGCAGGUGUCCGGGUUCAGCGGCUGAUUCCCGGGGCAGUCGGCGGCACACACGCAGCCGCACAGGUCGUCGUCCCACCGCUGGCCCGUGGGACACCACUUCCCCUCACCAUGACCUUCACACUGGCAUUCACCUGAGAGACAUUUAACAUAAACGAGGAGAGAAACGAAAACAUAAAGGUGCUUCCAGACUGACAACCCCUUUCUCAUAAAUUUGGUGCAUUUACAGUAAACCAGUCAUUGUGAAACCAAGAGGAAGCUUCAGAAAAAAUUACACCUCGCACCUGGAGCAGACUCUGAGCCUUAAACCCUGCUUUUCAACAACAGUGUAUUUCAAUGUGUUUUCAGUGAUCUGUCGCGGCUCGUCUGAUGAUGGAGUGGAGCGGCCGUUUGGAGAGGCAUUCGCACGAAGUGUGGUUGACGAAGGCUACCAUGACAUGAUCCGUCCUGGGAGGGGACAGUUCCAUCAACUGGCAGGAAGAGAGAUAAAGGGCCAAACAUUUACAGACAACUGUAAAAUAAAUUAAGGAGAAGACGGACAGACAGCGAGGCGGGAAAAGGAGAGGAGAGACAGGAGGCCGCAGUGACGAGGAGGAGGGAGAAAGAGGUGUGCCUGGGAAACGCUCGAAUGAGAAAACAUCCGAUUUUUGGGCCAGUCACUGCCAGCCUUUUCGGGGAUUAAAGAAGCAUACACACACACACACACGCGGUGGCAAGUGUCUGCUUGCAGUACGCUUUAUGUGUUGAAAUCCGUGCAACCAAAUUCCACAUUCCAGUCAUUGCUUUCUCCAUUUCAUCAUGUGAGCUCGGAGCACAGAAUUGGAGAUAAUAGAGAGGGAGGUUUAUCAGUAUGUAAUUCCAGGCUUUAUGCUGUUUAACAGGAGGAAAACAAACCAAAAGACUUCCUGAUCCUUUUCACGUCUAAAUGUAAUGUUUAAAAAGAGUCGCAAUCAAACUAAAUCACCUGCUGCCUGAAAAUGAACUCAUACUGAAUAUGUAUGAGGGGGUAUUUACUUUCAGGAAAGGAUUAACUGUUUCCUUGAGGGGUGAAAGGAACAAUUUAAACCUCUCUGAUAAAGUAUUCAUUGACCUCAAUCCUUCACACAGGCGGAAAACAAACCAAAGACGACUAAAACCUGCGUAAAAGUCAAGUCAGAAAGAGUCACAUAAAAAUAAUAAUAAAAGAAGUUGUAAUUUCCUGAGGAAGAAAAGCACCUUUUCUUUCCUAUUUCAUUAGUGAUUUGGCUUUGUCUUCAAUCCUCAGUAUAAAACCAACAGCUUGGCGUUCUCUCUGUUACAGCCUAAUAACCAAAUAAAAGGGCAACUAGUAAAGCAGCACAUCUUACAAGAAUGUUGUGUUUUUUUUAUAGACGUUUUUGCUGGAAAAAACAAAAGACUUAAAAUGUCUUACCACAUCAAGAGCUAGAGUAAAAAAUUUAUUUAUUUCAAAAAUUUAGUCUACAAAAGCUUUGACCAUCAAAAAGCAAAACCAAACUCUGACACUAAAACGACAAAUGCAGUUCAAUUCAAAGAUUAGUUCGAUGAUGUUUGCAAAAUUCAUUGUGAUAACUGCUUUCCUUCACAGGAAUCACUGUUUUGUUCAUGAAGUAACCAUGCCAGUGUGCAGAUGAACUUUGUGAACUAGCUCAAACAUCAGACUUACCUAAGUGACACUGGCAGGUCUCAUACAGCUGAAAUAUGUGAGGUAAAUGGCCGAAUCACAGUCAGUGUUAUAAAGACCAGUAUGAGACCUUACACAGCAGAGAAACCAAAUAAUGGAUGGAACCUCUAAAGAUAGGGAAACUAUACACUUGCACUUAUUCUAACUAAUUAUAUUAAUGCAUUAAUGACAACUAGGAACUCGUGAGCUUAAAGUGGAUAGUGAGAACUCCUCUCUGAGCUCUAGG